UACGGAGGAUCCAAGCGUUAUCCGGAAUCAUUGGGUUUAAAGGGUCCGUAGGCGGUUUUAUAAGUCAGUGGUGAAAUCCGGCAGCUCAACUGUCGAACUGCCAUUGAUACUGUUAAACUUGAAUUAUUAGGAAGUAACUAGAAUAUGUAGUGUAGCGGUGAAAUGCUUAGAGAUUACAUGGAAUACCAAUUGCGAAGGCAGGUUACUACUAAUGGAUUGACGCUGAUGGACGAAAGCGUGGGUAGCGAACAGG
rnacentral:rRNA from 1 species